rnacentral:rRNA from 1 species
CUACCGGGGUUUCUAAUCCUGUUUGCUCCCCACGCUUUCGCGCCUCAGCGUCAGUUCCGGGCCAGUGAGCCGCCUUCGCCACUGGUGUUCUUGCGAAUAUCUACGAAUUUCACCUCUACACUCGCAGUUCCACUCACCUCUCCCGGACUCAAGACAAUCAGUAUCAAAGGCAGUUCCAAGGUUGAGCCUUGGGAUUUCACCCCUGACUUAAUCGCCCGCCUACGCGCCCUUUACGCCCAGUAAAUCCGAACAACGCUAGCCCCCUUCGUAUUACCGCGGCUGCUGGCAC